CCUACGGGUGGCAGCAGUGGGGAAUAUUGGACAAUGGGCGAAAGCCUGAUCCAGCCAUGCCGCGUGUGUGAAGAAGGCCUUCGGGUUGUAAAGCACUUUCAGUGGGGAAGAAAGCCUUGGGGCUAAUACCCUCGAGGAAGGACAUCACCCACAGAAGAAGCACCGGCUAACUCCGUGCCAGCAGCCGCGGUAAUACGGAGGGUGCGAGCGUUAAUCGGAAUUACUGGGCGUAAAGCGCGCGUAGGCGGUCUGAUAAGCCGGUUGUGAAAGCCCCGGGCUCAACCUGGGAACGGCAUCCGGAACUGUCAGGCUAGAGUGCAGGAGAGGAAGGUAGAAUUCCCGGUGUAGCGGUGAAAUGCGUAGAGAUCGGGAGGAAUAACAGUGGCGAAGGCGGCCUUCUGGACUGACACUGACGCUGAGGUGCGAAAGCGUGGGUAGCAAACAGGAUUAGAUACCCUGGUAGUC
rnacentral:rRNA from 1 species